rnacentral:tRNA from 1 species
UCCCUGGUGGCUCAGUGGUAAAGAAUCUGCCUGCCAAUGCAGGAGAUGCAGGUUUGAUCCCUGCUCCGUGAA